CAAAGUUGUAGUUUAAGUAAAAUAUUAACAUUGGAAGUUAAAGAUUAGGUAAAUUAGUCCUACGCUUUGA
rnacentral:tRNA from 1 species